UACGUAGGGGGCAAGCGUUGUCCGGAAUCAUUGGGCGUAAAGCGCGUGUAGGCGGCUCGGUAAGUCUGCUCUGAAAGCCCGGGGCUCAACCCUGGGAGGCGGGUGGAUACUGCUGAGCUCGAGUCCGGAAGAGGCGAGUGGAAUUCCCGGUGUAGCGGUGAAAUGCGCAGAUAUCGGGAAGAACACCCGUGGCGAAGGCGGCUCUCUGGGACGGUACUGACGCUGAGACGCGAAAGCGUGGGGAGCAAACAGG
rnacentral:rRNA from 1 species